GGUAUAACUCAGUGGUAGGACAUCUGCUUUGAAUGCAGAAGGUUCCAGGUUCAAUUCCUAGCGUCUCCU
rnacentral:tRNA from 1 species